rnacentral:miRNA from 1 species
CAGAUCAUGUUAAGUGGAAUUUGAU